CCGAGAGAGAGGGGACUUGAACCCCCGGCCUUUAGUGUGACAGACUAAUGCGCUAACCAUCUGCGCUACUCCCCCG
rnacentral:tRNA from 1 species